rnacentral:rRNA from 1 species
AUUGAACGCUGGCGGCAUGCCUUACACAUGCAAGUCGAACGGCAGCGCGGACUUCGGUCUGGCGGCGAGUGGCGAACGGGUGAGUAAUGUAUCGGAACGUACCAUUCAGUGGGGGAUAACGCAGCGAAAGUUGCGCUAAUACCGCAUAUUCUGUGCGCAGGAAAGCAGGGGAUCGCAAGACCUUGCGCUGAUUGAGCGGCCGAUAUCAGAUUAGCUAGUUGGUGAGGUAAAGGCUCACCAAGGCGACGAUCUGUAGCGGGUCUGAGAGGAUGAUCCGCCACACUGGAACUGAGACACGGUCCAGACUCCUACGGGAGGCAGCAGUGGGGAAUUUUGGACAAUGGGCGCAAGCCUGAUCCAGCCAUGCCGCGUGAGUGAAGAAGGCCUUCGGGUUGUAAAGCUCUUUCGGCCGGGAAGAAAUCGUAUGGGUUAAUACCCUGUGCGGAUGACGGUACCGGCAUAAGAAGCACCGGCUAACUACGUGCCAGCAGCCGCCGUAAUAC